rnacentral:rRNA from 1 species
GUGGAUUAGAUACCCCGGUAGUCCAUGCCGUAAACGUUGGGAACUAGGUGUGGGUCUCAUUCCACGAGAUCCGUGCCGCAGCUAACGCAUUAAGUUCCCCGCCUGGGGAGUACGGCCGCAAGGCUAAAACUCAAAGGAAUUGACGGGGGCCCGCACAAGCGGCGGAGCAUGCGGAUUAAUUCGAUGCAACGCGAAGAACCUUACCAAGGCUUGACAUAUGCGAGAACGCUGCAGAGAUGCAGAACUCUUUGGACACUCGCAUACAGGUGGUGCACGGCCGUCGCCAACU